GGCUGGUCCAAAGGUAGUGAGUUAUCUUAAACUGAACAUUCACAGUCAGUUACAGAUCCAACUCUUGGAUCUGCCCUUUCCCCCCUUCUUACUAUUGCACUUAAAUACAAA
ensembl:misc_RNA Y_RNA Y RNA